rnacentral:rRNA from 1 species
CGGGCCUCUCGCGUCAGGAUAUGCCUAGGUGGGAUUAGCUAGUUGGUGAGGUAAUGGCUCACCAAGGCGACGAUCCCUAGCUGGUCUGAGAGGAUGAUCAGCCACACUGGAACUGAGACACGGUCCAGACUCCUACGGGAGGCAGCAGUGGGGAAUAUUGCACAAUGGGCGCAAGCCUGAUGCAGCCAUGCCGCGUGUGUGAAGAAGGCCUUCGGGUUGUAAAGCACUUUCAGUCGUGAGGAAGGUAGUGUAGUUAAUAGCUGCAUUAUUUGACGUUAGCGACAGAAGAAGCACCGGCUAACUCCGUGCCAGCAGCCGCGGUAAUACGGAGGGUGCGAGCGUUAAUCGGAAUUACUGGGCGUAAAGCGCAUGCAGGUGGUUUGUUAAGUCAGAUGUGAAAGCCCGGGGCUCAACCUCGGAAUAGCAUUUGAAACUGGCAGACUAGAGUACUGUAGAGGGGGGUAGAAUUUCAGGUGUAGCGGUGAAAUGCGUAGAGAUCUGAAGGAAUACCGGUGGCGAAGGCGGCCCCCUGGACAGAUACUGACACUCAGAUGCGAAAGCGUGGGGAGCAAACAGGAUUAGAUACCCUGGUAGUCCACGCCGUAAACGAUGUCUACUUGGAGGUUGUGGCCUUGAGCCGUGGCUUUCGGAGCUAACGCGUUAAGUAGACCGCCUGGGGAGUACGGUCGCAAGAUUAAAACUCAAAUGAAUUGACGGGGGCCCGCACAAGCGGUGGAGCAUGUGGUUUAAUUCGAUGCAACGCGAAGAACCUUACCUACUCUUGACAUCCAGAGAACUUUCCAGAGAUGGAUUGGUGCCUUCGGGAACUCUGAGACAGGUGCUGCAUGGCUGUCGUCAGCUCGUGUUGUGAAAUGUUGGGUUAAGUCCCGCAACGAGCGCAACCCUUAUCCUUGUUUGCCAGCACUUCGGGUGGGAACUCCAGGGAGACUGCCGGUGAUAAACCGGAGGAAGGUGGGGACGACGUCAAGUCAUCAUGGCCCUUACGAGUAGGGCUACACACGUGCUACAAUGGCGCAUACAGAGGGCAGCCAACUUGCGAGAGUGAGCGAAUCCCAAAAAGUGCGUCGUAGUCCGGAUCGGAGUCUGCAACUCGACUCCGUGAAGUCGGAAUCGCUAGUAAUCGUGGAUCAGAAUGCCACGGUGAAUACGUUCCCGGGCCUUGUACACACCGCCCGUCACACCAUGGGGAGUGGGCUGCAAAAGAAGUAGGUAGUUUAACCUUCGGGAGGACGCUUACCACUUUGUGGUUCAUGACUGGGGUGAACUAA